CGCGUAGGCGGGAUGGCAAGUCGGUCGUGAAAUCCCUCGGCUCAACCGAGGAGCGUCGGCCGAUACUGCCGUUCUUGAGGGAUGCAGAGGAGACUGGAAUUCCCGGUGUAGCGGUGAAAUGUGUAGAGAUCGGGAGGAACACCGGUGGCGAAGGCGGGUCUCUGGGCAUCUCCUGACGCUGAGGCGCGAAAGCGUGGGAGCAAACG
rnacentral:rRNA from 1 species